AUUCAGAAACUAUAAACCGGCUCUCUUCUAGCUUACGACACAAACUAUGAGUGAGAAAAGGACAAAUGAUUCGCUCUUUGCUUCAUUUUUUCCGAGGUUGUCACAACAUGAAAUGUCAUUUGGACCUAUUGGACUCAUUUUAACUCGGCCAAAUACAUAGUAACAUACAUAAGAAGAUUUUACUUAUAUUUACCGAACUAUUUGACACGGUCGCGUCAACUGUGUUUACGAGUGUCUUGUGUUCAGAUUGUUUUAAGUGAUAAUUUAACAAUAUUUUUCCAAAUAAAUGGAAAGAAACUUUUAUUUAUAUCAAAUAAUUGAGUGUCUCGACUGUGUGACAUUAUGUCUUGUGUGGUAUGGGGCUGCAGCUCACAUUCAGGAAGAAAAGAAAAUAGCCAACAACUUCUGUCGUUUCAUCGAUAUUAAAUCCAAAAGUGUCGACUGGAUUUACAUGAAAAGUCAGUUCAAGAAGACGAGAUGAAAAAUUUAAAAGAAAAGCUGAACAAGUCCCGCCUCAAGAUCAAACGACUUAAUGAAAAAAAAAACAAUGUGACAGGGUGUCACAAAGACAGUUUCUAAGCAAAUUGACACUGUUUAGAAAUUAAUAAAUUUGUA